AGUUACAAGCGUGUCAUUUUCAGUGGCUCCAUUUUAAAUCAGUCUGCUGCCUCAGAAUCCCUUGCAAGAACAGCAAGGAAAAGGAAGCCCUCUCCAGAACCAGAAGGUGAAGUCGGGCCCCCUAAGAUCAAUGGAGAGGCCCAGCCGUGGCUGUCCACAUCCACAGAAGGGCUCAAGAUCCCCAUGACUCCUACAUCCUCUUUUGUGUCUCCGCCACCACCCACUGCCUCACCUCAUUCCAACCGGACCACACCGCCUGAAGCGGCCCAGAAUGGCCAGUCCCCCAUGGCAGCCCUGAUCUUAGUAGCAGACAAUGCAGGGGGCAGUCAUGCCUCAAAAGAUGCCAACCAGGUUCACUCCACUACCAGGAGGAAUAGCAACAGUCCGCCCUCUCCGUCCUCUAUGAACCAAAGAAGGCUGGGCCCCAGAGAGGUGGGGGGCCAGGGAGCAGGCAACACAGGAGGACUGGAGCCAGUGCACCCUGCCAGCCUCCCGGACUCCUCUCUGGCAGCCAGUGCCCCGCUGUGCUGCACCCUCUGCCACGAGCGGCUGGAGGACACCCAUUUUGUGCAGUGCCCGUCUGUCCCUUCGCACAAGUUCUGCUUCCCUUGCUCCAGACAAAGCAUCAAACAGCAGGGAGCUAGUGGAGAGGUCUAUUGUCCCAGUGGGGAAAAAUGCCCUCU
rnacentral:sRNA from 1 species